AACAAUUAAUAAAUUAAAGCUGCAAGCAGCGAUGAACGGGCCCUCGCACCCGGGCUCACCGCCAUCGUGUGGCUUUAGUAAAAAGGUGAACGUUGAGAAAUAUGCAUUUAAUGUCCUAAAUAUAAGUGGAAUAUAUCAAAGUAUAUCCCAUAUAUGUGCCAAUCUUACCAUUGCCAGCAGGUGGCGCUAUCAUUAUAAUGGAAUAUUGGCCUUCAGAGGUGUUCAGGCCAGGACUCUUAUCAAACAUGUGAAGUUUGGGGAAGAUUGAACAUUUUAUGCUUGAGUUACAACAACUUCUCUUGCUGUGGCAAGACAUCAAAUUUUGUCAUGGCGCCAUGGAAACGGCCUUUAACAAAAACUCAAGAUCUCCAAAAGUUAACAUUGCACAGGCCUUUAGAUUAGAUUGACCACAAAAUAUAUGUUAAUCUCAAAAAAAUUAUAGGAGUAGUUUGUCGCAGCGUAAAACAUGUCACUUCCUGUUGCCAAUAGGUGGCGCUAUGACUAUAACUGAAUGUGGGCAUGUAGAUCUGUUAAGGGCAGAAGUUUUAUCUAACAUGUGAAGUUUGGGGCAGAUUGGACAUUGUAUGUCUGAGUUACAGCAACUUCCUUUUUCAUGGCGAAACAUCGAAAUUUGUCAGGCCGCCAUGGACACGCCCUUUAACGAAAUCUAAAGAUCUUCGCAAUUUAACAUCACAAAGGGCUUAAGAUUACACUGACCAGGUUUGGUGUUGAUCUGAAUAAAUCUCUAGGAGGAGUUCGUUAAAGUACAACCCCUGAAAAUGGCAAAAACAACGCCAAUUUUGCAGAGAAAAUUCUAAAUAUCCGACUUCCUGUUGGGAUUCGGAUUUCGUACCAAGAGACUUUUUUGUAGGUAUUGGUGUGUUACAUGUGUAUACCGAUUUUUGUACAUGUACGUGAAACAUAGCUCGAGGCGCACUCCGUUGAAAGUGUAUAGGUGGCGCUAUCAAGCCAUUUUGCCACACCUGAUGGAAUUUUGGCCUUCAGAUCUGUUCAGGCCAGGACCCUUAUCACACAAGUGCAGUUUGGGGAAGAUCGGACAUUUUAUGCCUGAGUUAAAACAUCUUUUAUUCCCAUGGCGAGACAUCGAACUUCGUGACGGAGCCAUGGACACGCCUUUUAACGAAAACUCAAGAUCUUCACAACUUAACAUCGCACAGGCC